AGGCACCGUUCCAACAGUUCAUGCGUGUUGAUACACUGUAAGAUAGAUUCUGCUAAUAUCCCUAUUUUACAGAUAAGGAAGCUGAGGCACAAGGAGGUAAUAUAACUUGCCAAAUUCAGCUUGUAACCAGUGCUGGGAUUUGAAACCAGGAAGUCUGUGCUUCUGUCUCCCCUUGGCUGCAAGAGCAGCAAGACUCGCUGCACAGCACCCUCAGGUCAGUGGUUCUCAAACUUGCCCUCACGUAAUUCUGCUGUUUUAGGAGCUGGACUAGGGCUGUGAAAGGUGUGUAUCUUUUCCUGGUUUGCAGGAAAAAUUAAUAGAAUUUUCCCAGUUGUAGGUCUAACAAACUUUUCCCCUAAAACUUUGGUUGCUGCUGUACCUUCUUAGGAUUGUAAGCAGAUUGCAAAGCAAAUGGACAAAGCAGCAAAUGGGUAUUAUUAACUAAGGCGGUCAGCAGCCAUGGACCCUCUACAGCUUAGUUACUGAACAUGCGUUGAAUACUUAAAAAUACUGUUAGUUGGUAAGUGUUCCUUGUUUAUGUGUUAGAAUGAAGUACGACAUAUGCAGUAUGUCAAGAAUGUUCCACAAAGAGCUGCGUGACUCCCUGAGGCCUUGCUACAAUGCUGGCAACCGGGGUCAUUGACAUUUUGUGAGGAAGGCCUGUGACCUGACCUCAAGGAGUGACCUAACCCUGCAGCGUGGUCAGGAUGGAUGGAGGGAGGAGACGGAAGUGACUGGCAGGCUUUUGCGGGAAUCCUGUGGCCUUGUGCCCUGGGUGGGUUUGGCUGAAAGCUCUUUGGUUACAGAAUGGGCCCCAGGAGAGUGGAAAUGGGUCCAGAGCUGUGGGCGAGGCUGGCAGGGAGUGGGGCGCUUCCCCCCGGGCCAGUGGGAGCCGUGCUGCCGGCAGAACCCGGGCGUGUCUGUGCUGGGCUGGGGGUUUGAAACCCUAAGUGCUCUCUGCUGUCUUCUCAAAAUCCUGGUUGGCUAGGCUGCAUUCCACACUGUCUCCUGAAAGGCAGUGGUUUUCAUGAGCGUAAAACUGGGCUUGGGAGUCUGGGAAACCCAGAGGACAAGCUGGAUGAUAAAUGCCGUUGGUCAGCCAGAGGUGACUGGACCGAUAAAUCUCGUUAGGGUGAUAAACUGCCACAAUUUAGUGUACUGCUAGAUUUUUUAAAAAUACCUGUGGGAAACCCAAGUUGCUGAUAAUCCUAGGUUUGUAAAGUGAUUUCACGUAAGGUCCUGCAUCAGAGGUGGACAGGGUAGGAAACUACGAAGAAAUCAGGCUCUUGGGAGAGAAAGGGGUUUGCCCCAGUCACAAAGCCAGAGGUGGAGCUGGAACGCGAGCCAGAGCUUUUGGCCAGCGUUACUGAUUGGGAGCCAGCCGUAGCUUUCUCUCACACGGUGAUCCACAAAGCAGGUGGCGUUACCCCUGCCUUCUGGGUGAACAAACUGGCUGAGAGGGGACCAGCCAGAGGGGCAGUGAGAUGUGGAGCCUGAGCUGGACUCAAGCCCCUCUUUGGGAGGAUGGGCGGCACCCCCUUAGCUUGGCUGGGGUGGGUGCAGCGGAGGGAGUGAGGUGACACCUCUGAGCCGAGCUGAGAAGGGGCAGUUCGGCUAGCCAGCGAGGAGUGUGUCCCACACAGAGGGCCAGUGUGGACGAGCUCCAGAAGCACCAGCACAUGGUGGACUCUGGCCCCUGAUCCCCAAGUCCGUUCUGGCCUGGCACCCCUCUGCUCUGGGCCGCUCUGCUCAGGGAAGCAGGGCUCUGGUCUGCACACUGGGGGUCUCUGGUGGCAUUUAGCAGACUCCAGCCCCACAGCCUACACUUCUUCCUUAUGCAGGGGGGGUGCAAAGGGGGGGUCUACCUAGUUAUGAGGCCUAAUUGAUGUUGGGGAAUCUGCGAGAGCACUUGGUGAAAGGUACCCCGUAAAUCUUAGCCACUGAAGAGAUCUACCACAUUCAUCACAGUGUUUAAUGUCCUGAUUGAUCUCCAGGGUAGUGAAUUUAAUUCAUUCCCUUGUUUCAGACUGAGUAGGCAGCCGUCCCCCUCUGCUGCAGCCUAGGGCUCUGCAUGACACAAUGCCUGCACAUCUCUUGGGUAACUUGCAAUAAAUUCAGCAGCAAAUGCCCUGUCAUUUUCUUUGGAUAAUUAAGUAUUUGCCAGGAGUCAGUACCAGACUUCUCAGCACUGGAGAAA